ACGGGGCGCAGCAGGCGCGAAAACUUCGCAAUGUGCGAAAGCACGACGAGGUUAGUCCGACUGUCAUUUGCUGAAUUUGACUUUUCAUAAAUGUAAGUAGUUUAUGGAAUAAGGGGAGGGAAAGUCUGGUGCCAGCCGCCGCGGUAAU
rnacentral:rRNA from 1 species